AUAUCUAUCUCGGCCUUUUGGCUAAGAUAAAGUGCAUCAUCUACAUUUUAAUAUCUGGUAUGUGGGUCAUAUGUCCACUUUAAUUUUAUAUUUAUUUUUUGUGGGGAUGAUCCACUUUAUUUUUUUUGUGGGGGUCCAUCACACUGGCUUGCCACUGGACCCUCA
rnacentral:snRNA from 1 species